rnacentral:rRNA from 1 species
GACGAACGCUGGCGGCGCGCUUAACACAUGCAAGUCGAGCGAAGCGGCGGACGGGUGAGUAACACGUGAGUAACCUGCCUUAGACAUUGGGAUAGCAUCGGGAAACCGGGAUUAAUACCAAAUGGUCUAAGAUGGACUCGCGUCCCAUUAGUUAGUUGGUGAGGUAACGGCCCACCAAGGCGACGAUGGGUAGCCGGCCUGAGAGGGAGAGCGGACACAUUGGAACUGAGAAACGGUCCAAACUCUACGGGAGGCAGCAGUGGGUAAUAGUGCAAAUUGGAGGGAACUCUGAUGCAGCGCCGCCGCGUGAACGAAGAAGGCUUUCGAGUCGUAGAGUUCUUUUAUAUGGAAAGCGGUACCGUAAGAAAAAGCCCCGGCUAACUACGUGCCAGCAGCCGCGGUAAUUC